UGAGGAAUAUUGGACAAUGGGGGCAACCCUGAUCCAGCCAUGCCGCGUGAGUGAAGAAGGCCUUAGGGUUGUAAAGCUCUUUCAAUAGUGAAGAUAAUGACGGUAACUAUACAAGAAGCUCCGGCUAAAUUCGUG
rnacentral:rRNA from 1 species